CUCUCCCCUCCCCUCCCCUUCAUUAAAAUCCCUCCCCUCCCCUCAUCUUUUUUAAACCAUCAUUUGUAUGCAAUUAGUGAAAGAAUUAGUGAAAAUUGAUAAUUUGUUAGCCUUUACAUUAGUAACUUUCAGCAUGCUGAAGUAGUAGGUUUAAAAACCUUUUACAGACAAUGUUUGAGUUGAAAAAGGGGCUGUCUUAGUCUCAAAGAUUGUCACAAGAAGUUUUUAUAUGGUUGCUGCAGAUAUUAAUGUUAAUGAGGCUAAUGACUCCAACAUGAAAAACUCUCCAAUUUUAAAGAAUUACUUUCGGUUAGUGAUUGGGAAUGGUUAGGAGAGUUCUCAAAAUAUAUUGGGAGGUGCAAUGUCGUUGUUGCAGAGUUAUGGGGCGUGCUUGAAGGUUUAAAGCUGGCCGGAGAUUAAGGGUUCGCUAAGAUAAAGGUGUGCCUGGAUUCAUCAGUUGUCAUCUCCACAUCCAAAAUGUAGGUGGUGGAAAUGUCAUGGGGCAUAGGUUGGUUCAACAAUUUCGUCAAAGGAAGGAUCUUGAAUGGGCAGAAGAAUUUUUUUGGUGAAGAUGGCCUUGCUAAUAUGUCCUUUAACUUAGAAGACGAGUUCUCUCUCUUUGAAGUGUAUCCGGAAGAAGAAAUUAAGGAUCGC